UCUCCUCUCUCGCUUCUCUUUAUUACUUUCCCUUUGUUAUUCCUCAGUUAAGAAAGCAACAGGGAGAGUUUAUGUUGCAGCUAACAGCAGUACAAGGUUCUAUGACUUCAACCAUCUAAUCUGUCAUGAUGACGUUUGGAUUAGAGGACAGAGUUGUUCAGAGUUCACUUUACACAUAGCAGCCUCCUAGCAGGAUUUGUAAUACAGAUACAGUCAAGACCCAAAAAAGAACUUCCUCUUCUCCCCAUUGCAACCUUCCUAAGAUAGAGAACACAAAAACACUCUAAAAACUCUCAAAUAGGUGUAUGAGUGGAUAAAGACAUGGAGAGGAAGAAAUUAAUGACGUGUGAACUGAGUCUUUCUAACUGGGCUCAAAGCCUUUGACUAGAUUAGCCACACCUUUGCAGGAUAGCCAGCUGUUAAACAUUUACUGCAGUACAAAUAGGUAAUUUCCAUGCUAAUUCUACAGCUAUCCAGGUGUAGCAAAGUGAUCUUUGCUAGGUUAAGAUCUUUUCAAACAGGUGAAGAAGAGGCACCAGAAGAACUGCCUGCUGCAAACUCAACAGCUUCAGCAGGGUGGAAGGCACCAUGUCACCAAUACAAGAGAAAUCCUCAGCUCUGGAAGACCUCAGGAGUCGGAUUGAAACGAGUGACUGGGCUGUUGCAGGGCUAGUGGUGAUUGGCAUCUUCUGCCUUGUUAUUGUUGCUUUCUUCUUAAUUGCAGCCACCUAUGGGUGCUGCUCAUCGCCAAGACACAAACGGACUAGGGCAUGAAUAGUGAAACUGAGGAGCAGUAUUCGGAGCUCUGCAUUUAAGCAAGAAUCAGCCCAGCUGCAAUACGGUGUUCUCAUCUUCUGUCCUCAGGUGGUUAUUUUUCCCCAUACAGCUUUCCCAGAGCAAUUCACCUAUGCCAGCACAUUGUUCUGCAAGUCCAGAGCAAACUCCACAGCAGGCAAUCUGUAUUCAGGAAGCAAAUGAGGACUCUGGCAUUUUGUUAAUUACCUCUCUGCCUGAUUUUUGUCUUUCAAGCAAAACCACAGGAUAGACUUGCUGAGCAGUCAGCAACUACCUGGAAACCAAGAAGAUCUCUUCCACUACUGCAAUUACUUGUUUGUUUCUUCUAUUCUGCAAAUGGGCAUUAGGAAACUGACUACAGCUUUGUCUGAAUCAAUUCUCUAAAAGCAGUUUAAACAGUUGUUCUCCUAUCAUACUCAAACAAUAGCCUAAAUACACUGCAAAAAUUUGCCUGCCAGAAUA